rnacentral:rRNA from 1 species
ACGGGAGGCAGCAGUGGGGAAUAUUGCACAAUGGGGGAAACCCUGAUGCAGCGACGCCGCGUGAGUGAAGAAGUAUUUCGGUAUGUAAAGCUCUAUCAGCAGGAAAGAAAAUGACGGUACCUGACUAAGAAGCCCCGGCUAACUACGUGCCAGCAGCCGCGGUAAUACGUAGGGGGCAAGCGUUAUCCGGAUUUACUGGGUGUAAAGGGAGCGUAGACGGUAAGGCAAGUCUGAAGUGAAAUGCCAGGGCUCAACCCUGGAACUGCUUUGGAAACUGUCCUACUAGAGUGCAGGAGAGGUAAGUGGAAUUCCUAGUGUAGCGGUGAAAUGCGUAGAUAUUAGGAGGAACACCAGUGGCGAAGGCGGCUUACUAGACUGUAACUGACGUUGAGGCUCGAAAGCGUGGGGAGCAAACAGGAUUAGAUACCCUGGUA